GCUUUUUGAAGAAGAGAAUAUUUCUUGUCGGAGCAUCUUUCUUUAUCCUGGCGGGGUCAUAUCAGUGAAUGAUAAAGCUGAAGAAGAGAAUCGUUUGCAUCUAGCUGGAGAGUAAUAGGACUGUAUCGGGCUGCUUUAAUCUGUGGGCCUUUGGCUGAAGUCAUCCAAUAAGGGAUUGCCUGAUUGGACAGUUUCUUCUGAUGUUGCUGGUGCAAUAGUAUCGGGAGCAAAUACAUGAAGAAGUGUUUGCUCUAUUUCUUCGAAAGUAGCAUUGGGAUGUGUCUGUUUCAGCUUCUUUAGAUAGGCUGAGAAUGUAGGUAGACUGACUGUAUUAUUUGAUGGUGGAUUGAGGAUAUUGGUUUGCGGAGGUAUUCUUUUCAGGGGUAAGGUGGCAGGAUUGGUACUGAAAAUAUCCCACCAUUUGACUUUAAGGGUUUUUCCUAGUUUGAGAAUAUACUCAUAGUUAUUAGUAUUAUUCUCAGAAAUAGAGUAUUCCUAUUUUAAAAUCCAAGGUAUUUGGUAGAUUGCCAUGAAGUAAAGAUGGUAAUCAUCUUGGUCUGUACAAGUAUUAUGUUGUGCAAAUUUUGUCUGUAAAAUUUGGAAAGUAUCAGGUAAUAUUUGGGUCUG
rnacentral:lncRNA from 1 species